rnacentral:rRNA from 1 species
GACGAACGCUGGCGGCGUGCUUAACACAUGCAAGUCGAACGGAAAGGCCCUGCUUUCGUGGGGUGCUCGAGGGGCGAACGGGUGAGUAACACGUGAGUAACCUGCCCUUGACUUUGGGAUAACUUCAGGAAACUGGGGCUAAUACCGGAUAGGAGCUCCUGCUGCAUGGUGGGGGUUGGAAAGUUUCGGCUGUUGUGGAGGGACGCGCGGCUUAUCAGCUUGUGGGGUGGGUAGUGGCUUACGAAGGGUUUGACGGGUAGCCGGCCUGGGAGGGUGACCGGCCUCAUGGGGACUGAGGUACGGCCCAGACUCCAACAGGAGGCAGCAGUGGGGAAUAUUGCCCAGUGGGCGGACGCCUGAUGCAGAAACCCCGCGUGCGGGAUGACGGCCUUCGGGUUGUAAACCGCUUUCGCCUAUGACGAAGCGUGAGUGACGGUAAUGGGUAAAGAAGCACCGGCUAACUACGUG